AUUGAACGCUGGCGGCAGGCCUAACACAUGCAAGUCGAGCGGGGUUUUCGGACCUAGCGGCGGACGGGUGAGUAAUGCGUAGGAAGCUGCCCGAUAGAGGGGGAUACCAGUUGGAAACGACUGUUAAUACCGCAUAAUGUCUACGGACCAAAGUGUGGGACCUUCGGGCCACAUGCUAUCGGAUGCGCCUACGUGGGAUUAGCUAGUUGGUGAGGUAAUGGCUCACCAAGGCGACGAUCUCUAGCUGGUUUGAGAGGAUGAUCAGCCACACUGGACCUGAGACACGGUCCAGACUCCUCCGGGAGGAAGCAGUGGGGAAUAUUGGCCAAUGGGCGCAAGCCUGAUCCAGCCAUGCCGCGUGUUGGAAGAAGGCCUUCGGGUUGUAAAGCACUUUCAGCGAGGAGGAAGGGGUGUGUGUUAAUAGUACACACCUUUGACGUUACUCGCAGAAGAAGCACCGGCUAACUCUGUGCCAGCCGCCGCCGUAAUAC
rnacentral:rRNA from 1 species